AAAUAUAUUUUUUUCCACAACCGGCCUUUUUCUAUAUUAAGAUUUCGUUUGAAAUUGCGUUACGUGUGAUGAUGAAAAAAUACGAUAAAAACAUAUUUUAUUUAUUUUAAUUUGUAAUAUUGAAUUUCGCACAUUGCGAUGAAUCGGUUGCAAUAUAUUUUCUUCGGUCCAGUCGGAGAACGCAAAAAUAUAUUUCUACAUGCUUUUAUUCUAACACCAUUUUAUCUAAUAGCGUCUGUUAAGCUUCAAUACCAAACUAAGCCUAAGCAUUGAAAAAACGAAAAACAUCACUUUUCAAAAUAAUUAUUUUUAAAAAUAUUUAAAUGAACGAAAAUUUAUUUUUUCAAUCAAAAGAUUCCAAAUACUAUUUUCUAA
rnacentral:lncRNA from 1 species